AGCAGCCGCGGUAAUUCCAGCUCCAAUAGCGUAUAUUAAAGUUGUUGCAGUUAAAAAGCUCGUAGUUGAAUUUCGGGAUCAAUUUAUUGGUCGUGCCAACGGUACGUACUGGUACAAUUGGUUUCUCCCUUCUGACGAAGCAUGAUGUCAUUAACUUGAUGUCGUGGGGAAUCAGGACUGUUACUUUGAAAAAAUUAGAGUGUUUAAAGCAGGCUUUGGCUUGAAUACAUUAGCAUGGAAUAAUGAAAUAGGACGUUUGAUCUUAUUUCGUUGGUUUCUAAGAUCGACGUAAUGAUUAAUAGGGAUAGUUGGGGGCAUUAGUAUUCAAUUGUCAGAGGUGAAAUUCUUGGAUUUAUUGAAGACUAACUACUGCGAAAGCAUUUGCCAAGGAUGUUUUCAUUAAUCAAGAACGAAAGUUAGGGGAUCGAAGACGAUCAGAUACCGUCGUAGUCUUAACCAUAAACUAUGCCGACUAGGGAUCGGAUGAUGUUAAUUUUUUAAUGACUCAUUCGGCGCCUUACG
rnacentral:rRNA from 1 species